UACGUAGGGUGCAAGCGUUAAUCGGAAUUACUGGGCGUAAAGCGUGCGCAGGCGGUUCGUUGUGUCGGCGGUGAAAGCCCCGGGCUCAACCCUGGGAAUGGCCGUUGAAACUGGCGAACUGGAGUGUGGCAGAGGGGGGUGGAAUUCCGCGUGUAGCAGUGAAAUGCGUAGAGAUGCGGAGGAACACCGAUGGCGAAGGCAGCCCCCUGGGCUAACACUGACGCUCAGGCACGAAAGCGUGGGGAGCAAACAGG
rnacentral:rRNA from 1 species